rnacentral:rRNA from 1 species
CGCAGCCGCGGUAAUUCCAGCUCCAAUAGCGUAUAUUAAAGUUGUUGCAGUUAAAAAGCUCGUAGUUGAAUUUCGGGAUCAAUUUGCUGGUCGUGCCUCCGGUACGUACUGGUAUUUAUUGGUUUCUCCCUUCUGACUAACCAUGAUGUCAUUCAUUUGGUGUUGUGGGGAAUCAGGACUGUUACUUUGAAAAAUUAGAGUGUUUAAAGCAGGCAUAAGCUUGAAUACAUUAGCAUGGAAUAAUGAAAUAGGACGUUUGAUCCUAUUUUGUUGGUUUCUAGGAUCGACGUAAUGAUUAAUAGGGAUAGUUGGGGGCAUUAGUAUUCAAUUGUCAGAGGUGAAAUUCUUGGAUUUAUUGAAGACUAACUACUGCGAAAGCAUUUGCCAAGGAUGUUUUCAUUAAUCAAGAACGAAAGUUAGGGGACCGAAGACGAUCAGAUACCGUCGUAGUCUUAACCAUAAACUAUGCCGACUAGGGAUCGGAUGAUGUUAAUUUUUAAUGACUCAUUCGGCGCCUUAC